UUGUAUCUUGACAGGUGCCAAUCAGACCAGUUCUUAAAGACUCCGCCAGUGCUGCAGGCAAUAUGUGCCAGUGCUUCCUUGUCCUUUUCAAAGCUUCUCUUUAUCCAGAUUGAGGCAUGGGCUAGGUUCUUUAUCUACCUGUCCAGCAACAUAAAAGUGGGGUAGCAUGUUGCAACACUACUGGUGACUUGCAGAAUGUUCUAUGGACAGUACUUCCUCCAGGUCAGGGUGGGGAUGGUGAAAAGCCUGGAGUGCAAAUUCAAAUGGCUGAAAUACAUCUUGUGUCCAGGAUAAACAACAGAGAGGCUAUCAAACAAAGCUGCCCAACCUUACACUCAUCCAUCAUCCUUGAGUUAUUAAGAGAGUAGCUGCAGAACAUUUACAAGUGCAUAGGAUGGAUUGCUGGCUGCUUUUCAAGAACACAGUCAGUGCUACAAAAACUUUGCAAGAUGGCAAAUUUUCUCAUGUUUCCUUUUCCUUGCUCUGCUAGGACCUGCUUGAAGGAACAGUUUCUUGAAUUUAGGGUUACUAAUCUAGGUUGAUGCCAAAGCUGUUACUCAUUCAUAUCUAGUACUAGAUUUUAAUUUUAUUUGAAUAAAAUAUUUCAAUUUUGGUGUCUGUGUCUUAAA
rnacentral:lncRNA from 1 species